UAGUAACAGCAAACCGCUAUAUAAACAGCACGGAUCGCUGCUAGUCACACGGUCAGUUUAACCAUUUUUGUAUCCUGUGAUUUUUAAGUGUUUUACAUUUAAGAUAAACAAACAACAAUCUUACCAUGUUUACCGAGUCUUUGCUGAUGUACGACACCCCGGUGCUGGUGAGCAAGAAAACCGAGGAAUCACCAAAGCUUCAACGUAAAAUCUCUGGUCCAGAUCCAUGUCCACCCAAACCCAAGAGCCCUUCAUCUGAUGUCAUCAAGCAGCAAACAGAGGAGCUUCUUAAUGCCAUGCUGCCACCAAGGGAAUGGAGGGAGAACGAUCAGCUGUGGGUACAGAAGGUGUCCAGCACACCGUGCACCCGGACAGACAUCAUUCAUCUGCAAGAGGAACUGGAUCUCAAACUGCAGCAGAGAAAGGCUAACGAUACGGGUGUUUGUCCUGUCCGCAGAGAGCUCUACACACAGUGCUUUGAUGAGCUCGUUAGACAAGUGACCAUCAACUGUGCUGAGAGAGGACUGCUGCUUUUACGAGUGAGAGAUGAGAUUCGCAUGACCAUCUCGUCCUAUCAGAACCUGUAUGAGAGCAGCGUGGCCUUCGGCAUGAGGAAAGCUCUGGAGGCUGAGAAAGAGAAGUCAGACAACGUGAAAAGGAUUGCAGACUUGGCGGAUGAGCUGACUGAACUGGAAAGACAGUUGAAUGAGAAGAAGGCUGAAUGUGAGGAAAUGGAGAGACAGGCAAAUGAACGGCGACUGGUUGAAGAGCAGAAGCACGCUGAGGAGAUCGAGUCUCUCAAAUACACCAACCUGCAAAUUAAGGACCAGUUGAAUACAGUCAUCACACAAAUGUAGUUAUAACAGACAUGUUUAAAAAUGGAGCCAGUCCGUGCCGGUAGACGAUUAGGUCCAGAUAGCGACGUGGGCCAUGUGGAAACAAAACCGAUCCUCACUAUUCGUCGUGUGUGAAUCUGCGCGUAUGCUUGUAGGUGGAUGAAAUGGAUGCACCCUUGAAGGUGAGGGAAGCUGGUCACAAGCUGGUGAGGAUCUUUAAUUAAUCAUGUCAGACUUGUGCAUCUCUCUUGCAGGAAACCCUGAAGAUGCUCUACAACAUAGACAAUAAGAAAAAGAAAAGAAAGAAUUAAAAAACACAAAAAUAAACACAAAGAUAGAACAAUAAAGCAAAUGUUGUAAAGUG